GCGGAAGCGGCGGCCGGGCAGCCAUGUCGCCUUUGUCUGCGGCGCGGGCGGCCCUGCGGGUCUACGCGGCGGGCGCGGCGGUGGUGUUGGCGCAGCUGCUGCGGCGCUGCCUCGGGGGCUUCGCGGAGCCAGUUUUUCCCCCACAACCCGACCGUGUGGCCAUAGUGACCGGAGGCACGGAUGGCAUCGGCUAUGCCACGGCGAAGCAGCUGGCGAGGCUCGGCAUGCACGUGAUCAUAGCCGGAAACAAUGACAGCAAAGCCCAAGACGUUGUGCGGAGACUAAAAGAGGAGACGUUGAAUGACAAAGUGGAGUUUUUAUACUGUGAUCUGGCUUCCCUGACAUCCAUCAGGCAAUUCGUCCAGAAGUUCCAGAAGAAGAAAAUCCCUCUCCAUGUCCUGGUCAAUAACGCCGGCGUGAUGAUGGUCCCGCAGAGGAAGACCAGAGACGGAUUUGAGGAGCACUUCGGGCUGAACUACCUGGGCCACUUCGUCCUCACCAACCUCCUGCUGGACUGCCUGAAAGAGGCCGGACGUCCCGGCCGCACCGCCAGGGUGGUGACCGUCUCCUCCGCCACGCAUUACGUGGGCGAGCUGCGCAUGCGCGACCUGCACGGCAGCCGCUGCUACUCCCCCCACGGCGCCUACGCCCAAAGCAAGCUGGCGCUCGUCCUGUUCACCUACCACCUGCAGAGACUGCUGGCCGCCCAGGGGAGCCCCGUGACCGCCAACGUGGCCGACCCCGGGGUGGUCGACACGGACCUGUACAGACACGUCUUCUGGGGCACGCGUCUCAUCCAGAAGAUGCUCGGCUGGUGGGCGUUCAAGACCCCAGAUGAGGGAGCCUGGACCUCCGUCUACGCAGCAGUCACCCCGGACCUGGAAGGAAUCGGCGGCCGCUACCUUUACAACGAGAAAGAGACCAAGUCUCUGACGGUCACGUACGACCGAGAUCUCCAGAGACAACUGUGGGCCACAAGUUGCCAGAUGACCAGCAUCCCUGACGUGACCCAAGACACCCUCUUGGGGUAACGGCCACCUUGGGAAGACCUCGCCUCGGCCCGGCAAACGCAGGUCUGUGACCGAUCCCCGUGUCUGCCUUUUCCACAGCUGUUGCCUUCAGGGCUCUGUCCCCAACGGUCUCCUGUCUGCUGUCCUGCCUUUGCGGGAAAUCGGGGAACAAAAGAAAUAUUGAGUGUGGCCUCCAAGUGGCCGUGAGCCAUAAAUUGUGUGGCAAGUUUCUCCCAAGUGCCAGGAACCAUUAAAUGCUGCCUAAGCCAAGUGUUCCAUGUUUCUUGAGUAACACACGGCAGGGAGUAGUUUUGAGGAGACAUGUUCCAAGUGACACAGGCACUUUGACACGAGCAUGAAGCGUUGGGUCUCCAGAGGUUUCUGGGUCCCGUGAGUCCUUUGUUCUCCCACGCACCCACUAUUCUGGACACUCAGCUUGGACUCCUGGGUCCCCAAGACAGAGAGACAUGAGCCUUCCUCAGUCUGUUGGGUCCAGGUUGAGGUGGAAACCCAUGGUCUACUCCACACUUUGACAAUGACCCGGCCCCGGGUGCCACCUUCAGCCCGUAGGUCUGCUGACAUGAGCUCAAGCCCAUCGUCAUGUGGAUAUGACCAAUGCCAGUCAGGGAUUCCGUAGAACAGGUGGGCGGACAGGGUCCUGGACGGCACUCCCCAUAGAGAUCUGUAGGAUGGGGAGGAAGAGAGGGGUCUGGAGAGCUCUUGCCAUGGGUUGUGUCCCCAUGGGUUGUGUCCCUAACAGAAUGUCUAAGGUCGUUGGGGUUGUGUCCAGUCGGUCUCUCUAGGAGGUGAAGUACGAUCCGGUUCAAAAGAUACCUGCACGUGCUACCCUCCCAGAACCUGUGAAUGUGAUGCUACUUGGAAAGAUAAUCUUUGGGAGGGAAUUAGGACAAGCGGAUCAUCUUGGGUUCUCGAGGCAGACCCAACGUGAUCCCAAGUUUCCUCUUCUGAAAUAAGUACAGACAGAUUUCAUGACAAACGAGGAAGAGGUCAUGUGACGAUGGGGACAGAGGUUGGAGAGACGCAGCCACACACAGGGACUCCUGGAGCCCCCAGAAGGUGGAAGAGGCCAGAAGGAUCUUCCCCGGGAGCCUCUGGAGGGAACGUGACCCUGCCCUGCCUGGCUUUCAAGAGCCCUACCCCGCCUGGGUCUCCAGAGCUGGGAGAAGGUGAACUCCUAUGCUUCUAAGCCACCAACCAAUUGAUAGGAAUUUGGAACCUGAUAGAAUCUGAUGGAAAUUGAUAGGACCUCAUACAGUUCCCGACGCUUCCGAAUAUCUCACACACUCUACUGGGCAGGAUCCUUGACUUUAGGGCUCACCCUCACUCCCAGUCGGGCAAGGAUGGCUCAGUCCUCCGUCUGAAGAUGUCCUCAAAUUCUAACAACGACAAACUAGCCAUUGGAAAUGCAAUAGAAAGGACACUGUGUGUGUGCCUCUGGACUGCAGAUGGCAUUUCCAGACCAGUGACCGCAGGCUGGUCAUCUCACUCUCCAUUCCCUCAGUUGACAGAAUCUCAUCAAAGACUCAAACCUGAUGUCAACUCCGGGCACAUGCAUGCUUUGGAACGACAGCCCGCAUCUCUUCCAGUGUGGGGUUCACACUGGACACGGGGACAGGUGCUUUAUAGUUCGCUGCUUGGAUGUUCAGGGUGGAUGGACUGGCGCCAUGAGGCGUUCUCCUUCGGGAAUGGAGCGUCCCUUAACGGGAACUUAAUAAAAUGCAAAGGAAUGUCUUUGCUCUGGUUUGGGAGACGUGACAAUGCCCGGGGUGAGUUCUCUGUGUUUUCGUGGCCAACGUGGUCAACCCUACAGAGACCUCCUUCUCAACAAAGAUGCUGACGAUGUUUCUGAAGGUCCACUAAGGCUCGUGGGGUUUGGUUGCCCUCUGGGGGAGCCUCUGAAAAGGAUUGCUGGUCAUCUCCAAUUUCAACAGAAUUCCAGAAGCAAUUCCUCUGGAUAAAUCAGCAUUUCUGUAGAGCUUCUGAAGGCAUCUUCUUGAUCUGCCAAGUUCAAGGACCGCCCCCCCCCCCUCCCCUGAGCCAGGCACAUUUGAAUUACAGCUUCCAGCCCUGGGUGUCGGCACGCCCUCAGACUGCUCAGAUAUCCUACUGAAGCCCUAGACUCCGGACUAAUGUCUUUUAGAACUAGAAUCCCUUCCUUGAUUAAACCAAGAGCGAGCUGUGGCUCAUCUAGUAUUCUGAACAGCCGGGAAUUUGCACCACGAAACAGAAUCUUGAGUUCUGGAAGGUGCCAACAUUGGAGCAUUUAUAUGUCAUCAGAGAACCCAUUACAGCUUGAGGCCAUUGUACACAAAUGCCAGCGACCGUGUCCAUGAUCACAAAGGUACUUUCUGAGUCGAGGCUCAGGAUGGCUCCUGGCCAAGCCGACAUCUUCUGCCACUGAGAUGACACACACGCCGGGAUUUGACAGAUGCCACAGUCCCCAAGCUGAGAAGACGCGCUUCCCAAACAAUUUGAACGUUGUAGGACCCUGGCCUCAGAUUCCUCCUCCUUGUUACGUGACAGCCCUUAUGUUUCUUUUCCUCCGUGGGAGAGAGAGGGAAGAAAACAACAACAUAGUUCUGGAGAAGGUAGCUUGUUCCCUCGACACCGGAUCAUAAAAUUCCUCGGAGACAUUUCCCAGAAGCUGGAGAAAUCGUGCGGAUCUCUGGGUGAGUAAAGCGGAAUCCGUGGCUUGGCAGGCACUGGAGGUCCUGGGUUUGAGCCUGUGGCUCACGUUAGGGGAGUGGACAGGGUCUCCGUGCACCCUCCAGGGUGACGACUUUCCAUCCGCGGGCAAGACUCGAUUCGGUAGUUGGGCUCAUGAUGUGUGUUUGUCUUCUCGUUAAACAGGUUCUUUUCUUCCCUCGGUGUAGCAACAAUGAGCUCUGUUUGGGUUCAGCAGCGGGAGGGACCCCAUCGUUCAUUCAUCUGUUCAGUCACUUAGUCAGUCAGUCAGUCAGUCAGUCAUUGCUACAAGCCAGGUUCUGAGGAAACACAAGCUCACUCAAGUGACCAAAGGCUGGUCCGUGUAGUACAAAGGCUCUGUCUAGAUGCCAACUGGAUAUUGAGGAUGUCUGUACCAUGAACAGGUGGCAUGGGCACCUCUCGUCUUGGCUAUUAGGAAACACAACCAGAGAAGGUGCACUGGGCUCCCUCCAAGGAAGGAGGCGGGACUGGGGGGAAGCUUCUUGGAUUGGCCUAUGGUUCAGGAAUAAAUGUAUGCCACCCGUGCCUUUGCAUCCAAAGUCUGGAUUUGAUUUGCCAUUCAAGUGGAGAAAUCACACUUGACCCUUGAACCACAAGGGGUUAGGGCUGCCCAGCCUCUAUGCACUGAAAAAUCCACAUGUAACUCUUAACCCCCCAACAACUUAACUGCUAAGAGCCUACUGUGGACCGAAAGUCUGACCGAUAACAUAAAUAGUCAACUAACACACAUUUUGAAUGCUCUGUGUAUUAUAUACCGUGUUCUUACAAUGAGAUCAGCUACAGAAAAUAAGGUGCGAUUAAGAAAAUCAUAGGAAGGGGGUGCCUGGGUGGCUCAGUCGGUUAAGCGUUCGACUUCGGCUCACGUCAUGAUCUCACGGUCCGUGAGUUCGAGCCCCGCGUCGGGCUCUGUGCUGACCGCUCAGAGCCUGGAGCCUGCUUCAGAUUCUGUGUCUCCCUCUCUCUCUGACCCUCCCCCGUUCAUGCUCUGUCUCUCUCUGUCUCAAAAAUAAAUAAACAUUAAAAAAAAAUUAAAAAAAAAAAAGAAAAUCACAGGAAGAGAAAAUACAUUUACAGGAAUGUGCUGUAUUCAUUGAAAAAAAUCCGCAUCUCAGUGGACCUGCACAGUUCACGCCGUGUUGUUCAAGGGAUUGUAGUGGCAGCUGUAUUUUUUGUCAUCUGGGUACCGGUAUCCUAGGCAUUGGGUGUACAUUUUUUGCUUGUUUACCAAAAGCUUUAAAAGCACAAACACAAACCCAGACUUAAGUCCCUCCUGGUUUCUAGCAUGUGCCCUGAAGGGACAGUGUGUGAAUGUGUGCGUGUAGUAAUCUCUGGCUCUGAGAUUCUUAACCAGUGAAGUGCGUUCUCCUGUUCAGGAAUAGAGCUCUACCAGUGUGUGCGUUUAGUUGCUAAUCUAUCAUUUUUGGUUACGCCAGGUGUCUAAUUUCUUCCUUUGCUUCUCUUUACAAUUCUUUGCCUUCUUUCUGGGAUGUAUCGUCCGACUUCCUGACUUGACGAAUGCCAUUUAUUUUUUGGUUUCUGGACGUCUAGCCUUCUGUGUCCCUCAUUUCUCCCUCUGACUUGGUUUAUGUCUCACAGAUAUGGUCUGCCAUUCCUGUCUCCUUGUUUUCCUCUUUAGCCCGUGGGCUACUCAAGCGUGUGUUUAAAUUUUCCCAGACGUGUAGAUUUAAAAAUAAUUUUACUGUCACAGGUCCAGCAGUGCCUUAAAAACUUUGUUUGCUCUAAGUCACCCGAGACCCACUUACGUUGUCCCUCAAAGAAGACCGUGGGGUACAUCUGGUCUACCACGGUGCUAAGUGUGGCCAACUGGGUUUUCGUGGAACAUAUGCUAGAGAAAAUCAGAGCAUGGUAACUACGAGGGCCUUUUUUUUUUAGGGGGGUAUUCAUUUUAUUCUUCUGACUUUAUUGAGGUAUACCUUAAGUAUAUACUUAAUGUGUAGGGCACGGUGCUUCGAUCGACGCUUACACUGGGAGAUGUCUAUUUACUAUGACUUGGGCCAAGAGUGUCCUGUUUUGUCCAAUGAGUCUUUUUAUGGUCGUUGCCCUCGCAAGAGGUUGGCUGUACACGGGGAUUCAGGCUGCAGAAGUGAGUCAUACUGUGUGAGUAAUACCACUGUCGUGCGUUGGGUCCAAGUCACCUACACCUGAUGAGUUGUUGGCUUCCCUUCCCCAUGGCCCGGUGGUUUUCCAUUCUGGCUGUUCUCCACAUGGUUCAUGGAAACACAGAGGAGAGCACACUGAGAAAACACCCACAUGCCUUCUCAGCGUCUGGCCAGAUGCAGGUGAACAUUCUGUGUAACUAACCCGAGUCUGGAACCAAAUGCUCUGUUGACACAUAAAUGCCAUCGUUGCCUUUUCCAGCCUAGCAACCACUGCAUGAAUCCAAGAUUGCCCUUGGUUGCAUCGUUCAACUUGUGCAGAAAUUCAGGUUGCAGCUGCUGGCAUUUGAGUGAGAACACAGCAUGCCUGGGGCAGCCUCUGUUUUGAGGCCGACACCUUCACUGGGGAUCCCACACGCAAGCAUCUUCCUGCUGCAUCGUCUCCAAGCACUGACAUGUUCCAACGCCUAUCACUUUCUUAUAAAUUGUAUUCUGUGGACACGGCGUGGCUAUCAUUCAAUUUGACUCUGGGGGUAAGUAUCUAUGAUUUCAUUUUAGGAUAGUGCGGGCGCAUUAAAAAUGCAUUCCUGGGGCACCUGUGGGGCUCAGUCGGUUAAGCCUCCAGCUCUCGACUUUGGCUCAGGUCAUGAUCUCAUGGUUCAUGAGUUUCAGUCCUGCAUCAGGCUCUGUGCUGACAGCUCAGAGGUUGCUUGAGAUUCUCUCUUUGUCCCUCUCUCUGCUCCUCCCCUGUUCAUGCUCUAUUUCUCUCUCAAAACAAGUACAUUCUUUCUCAUUGACAAGUAGUAUUCCAUUGUACCUAUAAACCACAUCUUCUUUAUCCAUUCAUCACUUGAUGGACAUUUAGGCUCUUUCCAUAAUUUGGCUAUUGUUGAGAGUGCUGCUAUAAACAUUGGGGUACAAGUGCCCCUAUGCAUCAGCACUCCUGUAUCCCCUGGGUCAAUUCCUAGCAGUGCUAUUGCUGGGUCAUAGGGUAGGUCUAUUUUUAAUUUUGUGAGGAACCUCCACACUGUUUUCCAGAGUGGCUGCACCAGUUUGCAUUCCCACCAACAGUGCAAGAGGGUUCCCGUUUCUCCACAUCCUCUCCAGCAUCUAUAGUCUCCUGGUUUGUUCAUUUUAGCCCCUCUGACUGGCGUGAGGUGAUAUCUCAGUGUGGUUUUGCUUUGUAUUUCCCUGAUGAGGACUGACAUUGAGCAUCUUUUCAUAAAAUAUGGCCCUUUGUAGCAAUGUGGAUGGAACUGGAGAGUGUGAUGCUAAGUGAAAUAAGUCCUACAGAGAAAGACUGAUACCAUAUGUUUUCACUCUUAUGUGGCUCCUAAGAAACUUGCCAGAAGACCAUGGGGAAGGGGAAAAAAAGAAAAGUUAGAGAGGGAGGGAGCCAAAACAUAAGAGACUUAAAAGCUGACUAUAAACUGAG